AAGUCGAGGGACAGCACAGGUAGCAAUACUGGGUGGUAACCGGCAAACGGGUGCGGAACACGUACACAACCUUCCUUUAAGUGGGGGAUAGCCCAGAGAAAUUUGGAUUAAUACCCCGUAAUAUAGUUGAAUGGCAUCAUUUGAUUAUUAUAGCUACGGCGCUUAAUGAUGGGUGUGCGUCUGAUUAGAUAGUUGGCGAGGUAACGGCUCACCAAGUCUACGAUCAGUAGCUGAUGUGAGAGCAUGAUCAGCCACACGGGCACUGAGACACGGGCCCGACUCCUACGGGAGGCAGCAGUAAGGAAUAUUGGUCAAUGGACGCAAGUCUGAACCAGCCAUGCCGCGUGAAGGAUUAAGGUCCUCUGGAUUGUAAACUUCUUUUAUUUGGGACGAAAAAGGGCCUUUCUAGGCCAACUGACGGUACCAGAUGAAUAAGCACCGGCUAACUCCGUGCCAGCAGCCGCGGUAAUACGGAGGGUGCAAGCGUUAUCCGGAUUCACUGGGUUUAAAGGGUGCGUAGGCGGGUAGGUAAGUCAGUGGUGAAAUCCUGGAGCUCAACUCCAGAACUGCCAUUGAUACUAUUUAUCUUGAAUAUUGUGGAGGUAAGCGGAAUAUGUCAUGUAGCGGUGAAAUGCUUAGAUAUGACAUAGAACACCUAUUGCGAAGGCAGCUUACUACGCAUAUAUUGACGCUGAGGCACGAAAGCGUGGGGAUCAAACAGGAUUAGAUACCCUGGUAGUCCACGCCCUAAACUAUGAUUACUCGACAUUUGUGAUACACAAUAAGUGUCUGAGCGAAAGCAUUAAG
rnacentral:rRNA from 1 species